CCUACGGGAGGCUGCAGUGGGGAAUAUUGGACAAUGGGGGGAACCCUGAUCCAGCCAUGCCGCGUGUGUGAAGAAGGCCCUCGGGUUGUAAAGCACUUUCAGUGAGGAAGAACGCCUGGUGGUUAAUACCCAUCAGGAAAGACAUCACUCACAGAAGAAGCACCGGCUAACUCCGUGCCAGCAGCCGCGGUAAUACGGAGGGUGCGAGCGUUAAUCGGAAUUACUGGGCGUAAAGCGCGCGUAGGUGGCUUGAUAAGCCGGUUGUGAAAGCCCCGGGCUCAACCUGGGAACGGCAUCCGGAACUGUCGAGCUAGAGGGCAGGAGAGGAAGGUGGAAUUCCCGGUGUAGCGGUGAAAUGCGUAGAGAUCGGGAGGAAGACCAGUGGCGAAGGCGGCCUUCUGGACUGAAACUGACACUGAGGUGCGAAAGCGUGGGUAGCAAACAGGAUUAGAUACCCUAGUAGUC
rnacentral:rRNA from 1 species